rnacentral:rRNA from 2 species
CAGACGGGUGAGUAAUGUAUAGGAAUCUACCUAGUAGUACGGAAUAAUUGUUGGAAACGGCAACUAAUACCGUAUACGCCCUACGGGGGAAAAAUUUAUUGCUAUUAGAUGAGCCUAUAUUAGAUUAGUUAGUUGGUGAGGUAAAGGCUUACCAAGACAAUGAUCUAUAGCCGAUCUGAGAGGAUGAUCAGCCACACUGGAACUGAGAUACGGUCCAGACUCCUACGGGAGGCAGCAGUGGGGAAUAUUGGACAAUGGGCGAAAGCCUGAUCCAGCCAUGCCGCAUGAGUGAAGAAGGCCUUCGGGUUGUAAAGCUCUUUUAGUGAGGAAGAUAAUGACGGUACUCACANAAGAAGUCCUGGCUAACUCCGUGCCAGCNGCCGCGG